rnacentral:rRNA from 1 species
UACGAAGGGGGCUAGCGUUGCUCGGAAUCACUGGGCGUAAAGCGCACGUAGGCGGCUUCUUAAGUCAGGGGUGAAAUCCUGGAGCUCAACUCCAGAACUGCCUUUGAUACUGAGAGGCUCGAGUCCGGGAGAGGUGAGUGGAACUCCGAGUGUAGAGGUGAAAUUCGUAGAUAUUCGGAAGAACACCAGUGGCGAAGGCGGCUCACUGGCCCGGUACGUGACGCUGAGGUGCGAAAGCGUGGGGAGCAAACAGGG